UAUAUAUAUAUGUGUGUGUGUGUGUGUGUGUGUGUGUGUCUAUACACACACACACACACACAUAUAUAUAUAUACA
rnacentral:miRNA from 1 species